GGGAGCGUAACUGGGAACGAAGUUGAGCGGAAGCGUAGUUCUUCGGCUGGAGGCACCAGCGAAGCGCUCACAGCCAUGUGGUAAUCUUAGGUUUUAUUACAUACAGUCGGGAGGAACUAUUGGAUAUAAGAGCAACGUCAACUCACCAACAUUACGACCAGGAAUACGACUUUCCCGAAGCGGAUCCUCUGUUUGCUCCACCGCCCAGGACAAUGGAUCGGAUCCCAGCCGGCGACCCAAAACAACGAUGCCGUAGAAGGGGCAGACGGAGCGGUCUUCUGGUCAGGCUCCGUAGACGGGCGCACCGUUCCCGAGCAUACUACUCGCCAAUUUCCAGUCUCUUGACAACAAGGUAGACAAAAUCCGUGCAAUCUGUUCAAUCAAUCCUUAUCCCAGUCUGCUGUUCCCACAUGCUUCAAUAGGGCCACCAUUGUUCCUGUUCCCAAGAAAGCUAAGGUAACUGAGCUAAAUGACUACCGCCCCGUAGCACUCACUUCCGUCAUCAUGAAGUGCUUUGACAGACUAGUCAAGGACCAUAUUACCUCCACCGUACCUGACACCCUAGACCCACUCCAAUUUGCUUACCGCCCCAAUAGGUCCACAGACGACGCAAUCGCAAUCACACUGCACACUGCCCUAACCCAUCUGGACAAGAGGAAUACCUAUGUGAGAAUGGUGUUCAUCGACUACAGCUCAGCAUUUAACACCAUAGUACCCUCCAAACUCGAGACCCUGGGUCUCGACCCCGCCCUGUGCAACUGGGUCGUGGACUUCCUGACAGGCAGCCCCCAGGUGGUGAGGGUAGGUAACAACAUCUCCACCCCGCUGAUCCUCAACACUGGGGCCCCACAAGGGUGCGUUCUCAGCCCUCUCCUGUACUCCCUGUUCACUCACGACUGCGUGGCCAUGCACGCCUCCAACUCAAUCAUCAAGUUUGCAGACGACACUACAGUGGUAGGCUUGAUUACCAACAACGACGAGACGGCCUACAGGGAGGAGGUGACGGCCCUUGGAGUGUGGUGUCAGGAAAAAGCCUCACACUCAACAUCAACAAAACAAAGGAGAUGAUCGUGGACUUCAGGAAACAGCAGAGAGAGCACCCCCUAUCCACAUCAAUGGGAAGUUUUAAGUUCCUCGGCGUACACAUCACGGACAAACUGAAAUGGUCCAACCACACAGACAGCGUGUUAAAGAAGGUGCAGCAGCGCCUCUUCAACCUCAGGAGGCUGAAGAAAUUCGGCUUGUCACCAAAAACACUCAAACUUUUACAGAUACACAAUCGAGAGCAUCCUGUCGGGCUGUAUCACCGCCUGAUACGGUAACUGCUCCGCCCAUAACCGUAAGGCUCUCCAGAGGGUAGUGAAUUCUGCACAACGCAUCACCGGGGGCAAACUACCUGCCCUCCAGGACACCUACACCACCCGAUGUCACAGGAAGGCCAAAAAGAUCAUCAAGGACAACAACCACCCGAGCCACUGCCUGUUCACCCCGCUAUCAUCCAGAAGGCGAGGUCAGUACAGGUGCAUCAAAGCUGGGACCGAGAGACUGAAAAACAGCUUCUAUCUCAAGGCCAUCAGACUGUUAAACAGCCAUUACUAACAUUAAGUGGCUGCUGCCAACAUACUGACUCAACUCCAGCCACUUUAGUAAUGGAAAAAUGUAUGUAAUAAAUGUAUCACUAGCCACUUUAAACAAUGGCACUUUUAUAUCAUAUCUUACAUUACUCAUCUCAUAUGUAUAUACUGUACUCUAUACCAUCCACUGCAUCUUGCCUAUGCCGUUCUAUACCAUCACUCAUUCAUAUGUAUUUUUAUGUACAUAUUCUUAUUCAUUCCUUUACACUUGUGUGUAUAAGGUAAUUGUUGUGAAAUUGUUAGGUUAGAUUACUCGUUGGAUAUUACUGCAUUGUCGGAACUAGAAGCACAAGAAUUUCGCUACACUCGCAUUAACAUCUGCUAACCAUGUGUAUGUGACAAAUACAAUUUGAUUUGAGUCCGUCAGAUCAGAGGAAAUAGUGAUGACCAGGCAUGUUCUCUUGAAUUUGACAUUUUUCCUGUCCUGCUAAGCAUUCAAAAUGUAAUGUAAGUACUUUUGGGUGUCAGGGAAAAUGUACGGAGUAAAAAGUACAUAAUUGUCUUUAGGAAUGUAGUGAAGUAAAAGUAAAAGUUGUCCAAAAGUACACCUAGGGGUGUUCUUGGGGAUCUAAGAAUUUCAAGAAUGAAACUGGGAGGAGUUGGUGGACAAGGUUGCGGCUUAAGGGGUCUAAAUGGCGGUGGUUGUUGCCACUGGUCAAAACAAAUCAUCAAAUCACAUUUUAUUAGUCACAUUCUUCAUAAACAGGAGGUGUAGACUAACAGUGAAAUGUUUACUUAUGGGCCCUUACCAACAACGCAGAGAGAAAAAUAAUAGAAAAAUAAUAAUACAAGGAAUAAAUACACAGCGAGUAAGUAUAAUUUGUCUAUAUACACAGGGUAACAGUACCGAGUCAUUGUGCAGGGGUAUGAGGUAAUUGAGGUAGAUAUGUACAUAUUGGUAGGGAUAAAGUGAAUAGGCAACAAGAUAGAUAAUAAAAAAUAACAGCAGCGUAUGUGAUGAGUAAAAAGAGUGCAAAAAGCAUCAGCUAUUUGGUUAACUAUUUAACUAGAGGUUAGAGUGUUGGGCCAGGAACCGAAAGGUCGCUGGUUUGAAUACCCGAGCCGACAAGGUGAAAAAUCUGUCCAUGUGUCUUUAAGCAAGGCACUUAACCCUAAUUUGCAUCAGUGGCGCUGUAAUACUAUGGCCGACCCUGUAAAACAACACAUUUCACUGCCAAUAGACAAUAAAACAUAUUAAAGCAACUGCAACAUUUUUUUUUGGGGGGGGUCUGGUCAACACUGGACAUGCCAGCAGUGUUUCACCAGCCUUUGCACAAGGCGGACAAGGGCUGGUGGACAUUGGGUCCAGAGUCACAGCUUUCUGCCUACAAGCUGCACAGAGCCUUUUUUACCAGCAGGGGGUGUGGUGAGACACAGCAUUGGCUGUUCUAAUGAGGUCAGGGGGCCUUGUAUUUGACAGGCACUUGUUUCUUUUGGAUGUGGAGCAGGUCGCUAUGUCAACCCUUAUGCCGUUCUACCGCGCUGUGCUUCGGGCAUGGAAAGAGACUCUUAACUGUUUACAGAGAUGUUUCACGGCCAGGAGCACGGCUAAUGGAGGAGCCACUGUUCUACAACCCACUCAUCCAGACCAGAGUGCUGACCUCUGCGAGAUUGCAAGCCAGACCUGUGAGAGCGGGGUUCACUAACUUGGGUGACCUGAGAGAGGAGGCUUCCUCCAUAAAGUUAUCCAGGCUGCUGCAGCAGGUGGUGGAGGGGGUCCAUGCUGCACUAGCGGGCUCCUUCAGAGAGCUGCUGGGAAACAGGCAGAGACUGGGCCGUUUAACCACUAAUUAAACUGAUCUGCUUCCUUUUACCACCUACCUCCUUUUUUCCCCAGCUGCUGCUGCUGCAGGGGAACACCAGAGGACCUGAGCCUUAGGACCAUGCCUCAGGACUACCUGGCAUGAUGACUCCUUGCUGUCCCCAGCCCACCUGGCCGUGCUGCUGCUCCAGUUUCAACUGUUCUGCCUGCGGCUAUGGAACCCUGACCUGUUCACCGGACGUGCUUGUUGCACCCUCGACAACUACUAUGAUUAUUAUUAUUUGACCAUGCUGAACAAUGACCCAACACACCUCCAGGCUGUGUAGAGGGCUAUUUUACCAAGAAGGAGAGUGAUGGAGUGCUGCAUCAGAUGACCUGGCCUCCAUAAUCCCCGACCUCAACACAAUGAGUUGGACCGCAGAGUGAAAGAAAAUCAGCCAACAAGUGCUCAGCAUAGGCAGGAACUCCUUCAAGACUGUUGGAAAAGCAUUCUAGGUGAAACUGGUUGAGAGAAUGUCAAGAGUGUGCAAAGCUGUCAUCAGGGAAAAGGGUGGCUAUUUGAAGAAUCUCAAAUAUAAAAUAUAUUUUGAUUUGUUCAACACUUUUUUGGUUACUACAUGAUUCCAUAUGUGUUAUUUCAUAGUUUUGAUGUCUUCACUAUUAUUCUACCAUGUAUAAAAUAGUAAAAAGAAAGAAAAACCCUUGAAUGAGUAGGUGUGUCCAGACUUUUGACUGGUACUGUAUUUAACUUUGAGCUACUUGCAUGUACAUAUGCAUAGUAUGUUCUGUACAGAGUAGGCCACACUACUAUCAGUUGUUUUGUCUCACUCUUAACAGUCCUGUAUCUUGU
rnacentral:lncRNA from 1 species